rnacentral:rRNA from 1 species
GAUGAACGCUGGCGGCGUGCCUAACACAUGCAAGUCGAGCGAACGGACGAGAAGCUUGCUUCUCUGAUGUUAGCGGCGGACGGGUGAGUAACACGUGGAUAACCUACCUAUAAGACUGGGAUAACUUCGGGAAACCGUAGCUAAUACCGGAUAAUAUUUUGAACCGCAUGGUUCAAAAGUGAAAGACGGUCUUGCUGUCACUUAUAGAUGGAUCCGCGCUGCAUUAGCUAGUUGGUAAGGUAACGGCUUACCAAGGCAACGAUGCAUAGCCGACCUGAGAGGGUGAUCGGCCACACUGGAACUGAGACACGGUCCAGACUCCUACGGGAGGCAGCAGUAGGGAAUCUUCCGCAAUGGGCGAAAGCCUGACGGAGCAACGCCGCGUGAGUGAUGAAGGUCUUCGGAUCGUAAAACUCUGUUAUUAGGGAAGAACAUAUGUGUAAGUAACUGUGCACAUCUUGACGGUACCUAAUCAGAAAGCCACGGCUAACUACGUG